CCGACCUUAGCUCAGUUGGUAGAGCGGAGGACUGUAGUUUGGAAGAACAGCCAAUCCUUAGGUCGCUGGUUCGAAUCCGGCAGGUCGGA
rnacentral:tRNA from 1 species